CACGAAAUUGUUUGAGUUAAUUUUCUUAUUACUUUAUGUUGCAAAAUAAGAUGGUGAAAGAGAAUUAGGGGUGAUAGGCUUAUCAAAUACAAAGAUAGCUUGAUUUUUAUGAAAUGUUAUAGUACAUUUACAAUAUUAGAGUUAUUAGGCUCUAAUAUAUAAUUAAACGGGUUUAAUCUAAUAUACUGGUUUAAGAGCCUGUAUAUAAAAUAAAUUAACAUUUAUGGUCUAUGGUUAUAUUAUAUAAUAAAACGUGUGUAAUUAAAUAACCCAUUGAUAAUGUUAUCAUAAGUACUAAGAAGAUAUUAAUAGUGAACUCGGCUAUAUGCUUUCAACUAGUUUACCAAAAACAUAGCCACGUGAAAAUACACGUGGUGUUUUCUGCUCAAUGAUUUUUAAAUAGCCGCAGUACCCUGACUGUGCAAAGGUAGCGUAAUCAUUUGUCUUUUAAUUGUAGACGUGUAUGAAUGAAUAUAUGGGGGCAUUCUUUACCAUUAAUAAAUUUAGAAAUUACUUAAGGAGUGCAAAUUCUCCUGUAUAAAUAAUAGACGAGAAGACCCUAGAAAUUUAUAUUAAUAUUUUGUUGGGGCAACAUAGUAGCAAUAAACCUACAGUAUGUAUAUGAAAAAUAUUUUUGAAAAAAAAAAAUUACUCUAGGGAUAACAGCAUAAUUUUUGGAAUGUUUGUGACCUCGAUGUUGGAUUAGGGAGUUGUUAUUUAGAA
rnacentral:rRNA from 1 species